rnacentral:rRNA from 1 species
GGAUUAGAUACCCUGGUAGUCCACGCCGUAAACGAUGAUCACUAGGUGUUGGGGGUCGAACCUCAGCGCCCAAGCUAACGCGAUAAGUGAUCCGCCUGGGGAGUACGCACGCAAGUGUGAAACUCAAAGGAAUUGACGGGGACCCGCACAAGCGGUGGAGCAUGUGGUUUAAUUCGACGCAACGCGAGGAACCUUACCAGCGUUUGACAUCCUAAGAACUUCCUAGAGAUAGGAGGGUGCCGGCUUGCCGGAACUUAGUGACAGGUGGUGCAUGGCUGUCGUCAGCUCGUGCCG